CCCUUAGAUGUCCGGGGCUGCACGCGCGCUACACUGAAGGAAUCAGCGUGCUAAAACCAUUGUCGAAAGGCAUUGGUAAACCCAUUAAAAUCCUACGUGAUUGGGAUCGGGAAUUGCAAUUAUUUCCCUUGAACGAGGAAUUCCCAGUAAGUGUGGGUCAUAAGCUCGCGUUGAUUACGUCCCUGCCCUUUGUACACACCGCCCGUCGCUGCCCGGGACUGGGCCGUUUCGAGAAAAGCGGGGACUGCUGCUGUCGGGGCUUUCGGGCCUUGGCUUCGGUGGAAACCGCUUUAAUCGCAGUGGCUUGAACCGGGCAAAAGUCGUAACA
rnacentral:rRNA from 1 species